rnacentral:lncRNA from 1 species
GGGGGGGGGUUGGAGGGGAAACCAGUAAAGGGGAUAACAUUUGAAAUGUAAAUAAAGAAAAUAUCUAAUAAAAGAAAAAAGGGGAAAAAAGUCGACAAUAUUAAAAAAAAAAAAAAAGGAUGGAUGGAUGCUAAGGUGACCAAGGUCAGCACAGGAUAUUCAUGUGAAGCAAAAGAUACAUACUGAAGAAACCUGUCAGAGAAGAUGCAGGACCUGAGGACCUGUCCAAAUGCAAGAGGCCACUUCUAAGAACUGAUGGUAGCUACGCAAACAAACAGGAGGUGCUCUGUUACUAGUGAUGGGUAGGAAAAGAAGGGACAGGAGCACAGGACUUCAAUGGUUCCUAUCUCUCACAGGCACCGUUACCGAGACACCAGCUGCCCUGUUCUGGCACAGCCAAAGAGGCCAUCCUCAGAGCUCAGCAGGUGCCAGUGCCAUGUUCUUGAACUUGGAGAAUGGGAAACCUAGCAAACCACUAUUUUUACAUUACCUAGCUUCAGCUACUUGUGUUAUAGCACCGGAAAGUUUAUGAACACUCCAAGAUUGGUGCAGGGGGGCAAAAAUGGCAUCGUCAUCACCACCACAGAAAAACACUGCUUAAAUAUAUUAUUAGACGUUUAAAAGUUUAAAGCCGGAAGCGUACCUUACGGCAACCUAGCUUAAGGCUUUCAUCUUUCAGAUGAGGAAAUCAAAGCACAAUGAGGCAUUCACAGAGGCUUGCGAUACAGCUGAAUAAAAAUAAUUACGAGGAUUCCUGUGAGUCAUUCCUCAGAUGAUCAUAUUUUCACACCACCCCAUCAGAAAAUGCUGUUCUUCUCCAGCCCCUUCUCUUGGUUGUCAGCUAUUUCUUUGUAGCUGCUCCAAAGAAAUGUACCAGGACAUUUCUGUUUAUUUUAUGCACAAUACUCCAGCAGGCCACAGCACUCCUGGGCACAAGGAAUAGAGAGCCAUUCAACAUAAAUGACCACCAGGGGGUGCUCAGAGGACAAGCUGAAACAUGGGGGUGGCCCUGGCGAGUGGCCCCUCUCAUGCAAAACACAUGUGACAACCAAGACUGUUAGAGUUGGUGCUUAAGUUGAGGGGUUAGAGGUCUCAGGUCCCUUUGGCUAAGCAUGGUUACACAUCUGUCCCUAGCAGGACAAGUUUCAACAUGUGCUGACCUCGUGCUGAAGAUUUAUUUCUCCAGAGCUCUUGUUUGCCUGCUGUUCUAUGUCUCCAUAAAUAACGAGGAAGAUCAUGCCACUGUGAUGCCCAAACAAGAAAACCACGUUGGUCAAAUACAACAGCUAUAACUGAAGAGUUCCUGGGGAUGGGGAGAUGGCUCAGUAGUUACAAUGUUACUUUACAAACAUGAAGACCUGAGUUCAGAUCCUCAGUGGCCACAUGGUACCCACCCUUCUGUAACCCCAAUGUCCCCAAGGUAAGUGGCAAACAGACCGAGCUCAUAGACUCAUUGACCAGCCAGUCUAGCUGAAAUGGGACGUUCCAUGUUCAGCUAGAAAUGUAUCAGAAAUAA